rnacentral:misc_RNA from 1 species
CCCUUGUGGAGGAGGACGCCGAAGGUGGGGCUAAUGACUGGGGUGAAGUCGUAACAAGGUAGCCGUACCGGAAGGUGCGGCUGGAUCACCUCCUAACAGGGAGACAACAAAAUGUUUAAUAUUAUUAUUUUGUCACCUUAGGUCGAUCGGUAUCUCACGUUCUUAAUUUGUUAAGAAUUUCAUUUCCUAAGUUUUUCUAGGUCACACCCAUUAUUUUUCCUGGGCCAUUAGCUCAGGUGGUUAGAGCGCACCCCUGAUAAGGGUGAGGUCCCUGGUUCAAGUCCAGGAUGGCCCAUAUCUCUAUGUUGGGGGUAUAGCUCAGUUGGUAGAGCGCCUGCUUUGCAAGCAGGAUGUCAGCGGUUCGAGUCCGCUUACCUCCACUGAUUACCACCUCUUCCAUAACUGGUAGAAAGGAAAUGUUUUGAGUUGUGAUUGUAUUCUGAACGAAUCUAGCUUCCUAAUGAAAUCAUUAAGAUGCUGGACUCAUUGAAUUAAUUUCAUUGUUUUCAGAGAACCUUGACAACUGCAUAGAAUUUUUUAAAGACAAUAAGCAUCUUUAAUGAUGCAGAUUUAUUAUUUGUGCGAAUGCAUUAAUAACAAUUCUAUUAAGCUGAUGCUUCAAUUUUUGAAGUUAUUGGUCAAGCUACAAAGGGCUCACGGAGGAUACCUAGGCACACAGAGGCGA